AUGCGAUCAAGGACUCAAGGCCAUCCUGCACGUGGCGGCGGCAGAGCCGACGCCGUCGCCGGCCUGGUUGGUGUUGGGGCUGCACUUGUUGGCGCAGAAUGGGAUGCAGAGCCAGCGCGGCACGCCGGGGCUCCUGCACCCAGGGUAGCAGUCGUUGAAGCACUUGCAGAAGUCGGACAUGGCGGCCACCUGCUGCCGCUGCCCGGACGGCAGCACGAGGAGGAACAUGAUGCACAGGGCGGCAAUGGCUGCCGCUCUCUUCUUCACCUCCAUCUCUUUCUUGGGGACCAACGUACGAUGCUUCUUAAGGAUCAAUAG
rnacentral:rRNA from 1 species